rnacentral:snRNA from 1 species
GUGCUCGCUUUGGCAGUACAUAUACUAAAAUUGGAACAAUACAGAGAAAAUUAGCAUGGCCCCUGUCCACCAAUAUCCAUUAUAUUAUUAAAAAUAAUUAU